rnacentral:rRNA from 1 species
AUGUUCUUGUUUUUCAUAUGUUCUUAUUUCUCAUGUGUUCUUGUUGUACAUGUUCUUCCAUUUGUUUUUAUUGUCUUUACUGACCAUUAUGUUUCACUCAUUGUAGGUAUGGCGGCUUCCCAACCCAACAAACCAACAAUGAAGGAGGAUGGCGAAGAUGAGAUGACGGGAUGGUGGGAGAAGGCUGCGAAGAAGCUUAGAGAUGAGGACGCAGCCACACUAAAGAAGAAGAAGGAAGAGGAGCUUGAGAAGAAGAGGAAGGAAAGAGAGAGAGCGACACAUGCGAUGUGGGCUAGGGAGCAAGUGUUGGUGAGGAAAUGUGAGGAGGCACAAAAGAAGCGUCAUAAGGAUUUUGAAGAAAGAACCAUGAAACUUUGGGCAUUCGCAGCUGAAAAAGAGGAGAGGAAGAACAAGAUAUUCAUGGAGAGGGUGGUUAAGGGGGCUCACCUCAUAAGGAAAAGGGAGGAGGAAGAGGAAGAAGAGAGGAAGAAGAAGAAGGGAAAGGGGCCUUGCUCUACGCAAUAG